UGCCGUCACUAAUAGCCCCAAAAACACCCAAAAUUCCCAAAUUCUCAAACGCUUGGUGCCUCUGAUACUUUCAUUUUUCCCCUCUUUCUCUAUCUCUCUCUCUCUCUCUGUGUAUCGCUUUCCAUCUUCCAUCUUCUAGUUCAUACACUCACUCUCUCUCUCUCUCUCUCUCGCUCUCCAUCGCCAUCUUUCACCUACGAGUUCACUCUCACCGGCAUUAGUUUGUUGAUCCACCUUCACCAAGCCGACAUCGUCGCCCACUCUCUCUCAAUCUGGCCAUCGAUCUCGGUCAAUACAUGGAUAUCACCUCUUUAAGAGCUUUAGGAGUCUUCAACGUUCAAUCAGUACCUCUCGAGUUAUUGUAUCCGAAAUUUGUAUAUUUAUUUGCAGUUUGCACUCAUCUAUUUUAAUCUCUCUUUUACUUCCUUGGAAAACCCUAGAGUUUGAAGGUAAUAGCUCUCUCUCUCUUUCUCUUAGUUUUGAUUUAAGAAUUUUGCGUUCGAUAUUUGUAUCUACACAAAUAAUACAGACUAUACACUUACAGCAUACCUUCUCCAAAACUAGUAAACCAACAUUUUUUCCCAUAACACAAUUCAAUAAACUUUUCCUUUACAAUAAUAAUAAUAAUAAUUACAAAGAGAAUAAGAGUUGUAAUAUUCAAAGCUGCUGCCUUGGGGUCUCCAUUGUUGAUUCUAUUUCUGGGGAAUCGUUGUCCACCCACUGGGUGCUCGACAAAAUGCCUCUUUGACAUACUUUUUUUGUAUAAGGAUAUGUGGUAGGGAUUAUGAAAAACUCUUCCAAAAGGGUGGUUAAUUAAUUUGCAUAAAAUGAAUAUGUGAUGGGGAUUACGAUAAAAACACCUCAACGAACGUGCAUGAACAAACUCUGAAAUGGUAGUAAUAUGCGUCAUGUGAAUCGGUCAGCACAUGUUUAUUGUAUAUGAAGGUGGUGGUUCAUCUACCUUAAUCUUGUUUGAGGCUUUUAUGGUUCUAAAAUUAAGCUUGCAAUCCCAUGACAUGGAAGUCCUUGAGUGACUAUUUGUGGGUUUUGGUAGCUACGGUUUUCUCCUGAUUGUUACAAUUAUUAUAAAGCUUACCAUUUAUGUAGAGAUCAGUGUUUCUGGCAAGAUUAUGGCUAAUUGAGACUUUAUACAUAUUGUAUGCAAAUUUCCUUGAUGUAGUUCUUUUGAAGCUUCAUGUGUUAUCCAUUGAGUCGAUGAGCAAAGUGUGCUGACCUCUUUACUAUGCUGGGAAGUAUGAAAUAUUAGCUAUUAGCCCUGCUACCCUGCCUUGCCUUGCUCUUUUUUUUUUUCUUAAUUUUUUUUAAUACCCGCAGAAUUUUUAUGACAUAUGUCUGCGAAGGUCACUACAGUAUCAAAGCAAACAGGUAGAGGAGGUUACCUUCACAAACUGGAAUAUAUAGAAUUUCCAAUUAUGUUUUCUAUUCAGAAUUCAUUUUGUCCUUUCAGUCUCAAUAAAGGUACCUUGUCAUCCCUUGGUUUGUUGUAUUGUGUAUUGUUAAACGUGAUUAAUUUGAUUGAUUUUUCGAUGUUUGAUCUAGUUUUGUUCUUGCCAAUUUUGUUAUUUUGCGUGGUGUGAAAUUAGUUUGUUCCUUACCUGACUAUAUGCAUCUUUUUUUUCUUAUUAUGAGUUUGUUCCCUGCUUGACUGUAAGCCCUAGGUAUUGGACAGAUUACAAAUGUUCCAGCAUGCAUUAGAUAAUUUGAAAGUUGUGAUGUUUAGGCAACUAUUCUCGUGGCUGCAACUCCCAAUGCAUUAUUCAAUACUCCCGCAAUGACUUUUUCUUCUUUUAUUAAUUAGAAAAACAAAAAUUCAUAAUUGUGAUUUCCAUUUAAUACUACUAAAAAAUUUGACAGAUAACAGUUUAAAUCAAAAUUAUUUAGUAGUCUUGAAACAUCACUUUAUUUUAAUGCUAUGUCUACUUCCAAGACUCCAUUAGCUAUUAUUAGAUACUUAUCCUCAGCAUGAGAUAUUAUUCUCAUUCUCAUCCUCAUUUUGAUUUUAUUAUACAAGUAACAAUGUUAGGAACUCACAAUAUUUACCUAGAAAAAUACUGAGAAAGAGUAUUCAAUGGUUAAGAUGCAUUACAAAGGAAUCCACUAUCCAAAAUUCAAUCUACCCCAUCCACUAUUAUUUUGGGUAAAUUUUCUAGACUACUUCUAUGGGUUGAUAAUUUUUCUACUAAUUAUGAGCAAUACUAGAAGCCUGUAAUAUUUACCCUAAAAAAAUACCUAAAAAGAGCAUUUAAUGGUCAAGAUGCAUUUCAAAGAUCGGUUCGAUUAUACAAAAUUCAAUCUACACCAUCCACUAUUAUUUGGAGCAAAUUUCCUAGAAUUUUUUUUUUUUUUUUGAAUAAUUAUAUCAUGUGUUACGGGAAUUUUAUGUUGGUAAUGUGCCCAACCAAUAGAAGAGAUCUAAAGAAUUACAUGACCCUACAAAGAAGAAAAAAAUAGAAAAAUAAGAGUAUAAUAUUAGAUAGGCACACAAUCACGUGUUCUUCUUGACUCAUAUGAUAAUUUGGGGGUUUUUUGGUUGGUAGCUUUUCUGCUGGUUAUAAAAGAUUAUAACAAAACCUAACAUAACAUAACCUUCGCUCGAAGCAGUCUCAAAACACACAUUCCAAUAAAAUAUGGGUAUCAACAACAACUACUUGAGAUUGAGAGGGGCAUUGUUUUUUGUUAUUGCAUUGGCCUUUGGAAUCAGUGGUGGGGAUACUCAAAAUUCAACAACUCUUGUUCCAACAAUCUUAACAUUUGGUGACUCUACAGUAGAUAUUGGGAACAAUGACCAUAUUCACACCAUUUUCGAAGCUAAUUUCCCACCUUAUGGCAGAGACUUCAUCAAUCAUAAACCAACUGGAAGGUUUUGCAAUGGCAAACUAGCCACUAAUAUCACCGAUGGGACAACAAAUUUUGCGCGUUGCUAUCCUAGCUUUGCAGUCUCUGUGGGAGUUCUGUAUAACAAAAAGCCGGCUGCUGGUGCAGUGGUAGAAUUUGUUUGAGGCCCUAUGUGUUGGAAUACACGCACGUUUUCUGCAAUGGCUAGUAAGAAGCUGGGGGUCCUUUUUGCAAUGGGAAAAAGAUUCAAGUGAGUCAUACCGAUAAGUGGAGCAAUCACUUCUAGUUACUGGAUUUGGGUAUGAACAUGACGAUGCAUGGAGUACCAACAUAGAGUUAUUCAAAGAAUUUACUGAUGUCAACAGGGGCGUGAGAAGGCUUGGUGCUACUGCAGUGGAUAUGUGCCAUGUAGCUUUGGGAAUUUUAUAAGCAUAUUGGGAAUAUCAUCUAAAACCAUGGGAUAUGGCUGCUGGUGUUUUGCAUUCUAUUUCACAACAAAUUUGGCAGCCAAGGCUAGAUGAUAUUCUUCUCAUCAUUCUUGGGGCUAACUAACGGCUACCUCACCGUUUGUGUCCUUACUUCUGCUCCAAAAGGUUAUAAGGUUAAACCAUCGCAAAUACCUUUUGGCACACCCUCUUCUGCCACCACCUUUUGUCGUGCCCUCUUCUGUCACCCCUCUUUUCCUGUCACUACUCGGUCGGAAAAAGUCUUUUGCGACGACAUAUGCACCCUUUGCAAGGUUUACAACCGUUGCAAAAGCUCCGAUUUUUAGUAGUGUGUUGCUCGAGCGUCCCAACACAAAAACAUGGGACUGGGAUUGCUCGAGCGCAGGAAUUACCACUCAAGCGAAGAAUACAAACUCCCAGAAGUUUUGCAGAUUGAAUACCACCGCUCAAGCUCAACAAAAGCCGCUCGAGCCAACACCAUUUGAGCGCAAGAAGUGUCGCUCGAGUGAAGAAUACCAGCUACUAGUAUAUCUACAUGCCUACAAAAGUACUGAGAGUUUACAACUGCCAGUUGAACGCAAGAAGAGAUGCUCGAGCGAAAAAGCCCAAAAUCUGGGCAAUAACAAUUUGGACCAACAAGCUACCAACCUAUUCUAAACACACCCAAAACACUCCAACAACCAAACUCAAUGAGGAAAAGGUGAAACUAGACAAGAACAACUAUAUGAGACAAU